GGGUGAGUACACGUAGGUGACGUGCGCUAGAGAUGGGGGACACGGAUGGACACAUGCGCUACUACGCAAUGGACGUGUACUGUCGAAGGUAUAGGUAGAGCUUCGGCGCUUUAGGAGGAGGCUGCGGCCCAUCAGCUAGUUGGUAGGGUAACGGNCUACCAAGGCACAGACGGGUAGGGGGUGUAAGAGCAUGACCCCCCACAAUGUGACUGAGACACGGNCCAUACUCCUACGGGAGGCAGCAGCAGGGAAUAUUGCACAAUGGACGGAAGUCUGAUGCAGCGACGCCGCGUGGAUGAUGAAGGCCCUCGGGUCGUAAAAUCCUUUUCAGGCGGACGAGGAAGGACGGUACCCCUGGAAUAAGCGUCGGCUAACUACGUGCCAGCAGCCGUCGUAAGACGUAGGACGCAAGCGUAAUCCGGAUAUACUGAGCGUAAAGCGUCUGUAGGCGGAUGGGUAAGUUGGGCGUGAACGCUCCGUGCUCAACGCGGAGAGGUCGUUCAAUACUGCCGAACUAGAGGACAUCAGAGGAGCAUGG
rnacentral:rRNA from 1 species